rnacentral:rRNA from 1 species
UCGAAUCCUGCUAAGCAGACGACCCGAGAACAUGUUUAUCGCACNGGCUUUGGGACAAGGAAACCGCGGAUCCGUAUCGCCCNGAGCAUGACGUCGACCACCGUCUCGUCGUCCAAACAACCAACCCCGGGCGCAGAAACGCAAGAAAAACGUAAAUAGGAUUGUCUGCCUCCGUCCGUGCCGUAUGCGGUCGACGGAGGACACGGACGCCUAAAGAAACA